UACAGAGGGGGCAAGCGUUGUUCGGAAUUACUGGGCGUAAAGGGCGCGUAGGCGGCCCGCUAAGUCGAACGUGAAAUCCCCGGGCUCAACCCCGGAUCUGCCGUGCCGACUGUCAAACUCGAGGGCUGUAGAGGCAGACGGAAUUCCGGGUGUAGCGGUGGAAUGCGUAGAGAUCCGGAGGAAGACCGGUGGCGAAGGCGGUCUGCUGGGCAGUUUCUGACACUGAGGCGCGACAGCGUGGGGAGCAAACAGG
rnacentral:rRNA from 1 species